AGAAAAAGGCAAACCUGUUGAAAGAUGGGGGCGCAAAGUCUCAGGUCUAAGGUAGGGAACUAUGACGGCUGGACUGCUGA
rnacentral:ncRNA from 1 species